UGGGGAAUCUUGGACAAUGGGCGCAAGCCUGAUCCAGCCAUGCCGCGUGAGUGAUGAAGGCCCUAGGGUCGUAAAGCUCUUUCAACUGUGAAGAUAAUGACGGUAGCAGUAGAAGAAACCCCGGCUAACUCCGUGCCAGCAGCCGCGGUAAUACGGAGGGGGUUAGCGUUGUUCGGAAUUACUGGGCGUAAAGCGCGCGUAGGCGGAUUGGAAAGUUGGGGGUGAAAUCCCAGGGCUCAACCCUGGAACUGCCUCCAAAACUAUCAGUCUAGAGUUCGAGAGAGGUGAGUGGAACUCCGAGUGUAGAGGUGAAAUUCGUAGAUAUUCGGAAGAACACCAGUGGCGAAGGCGGCUCACUGGCUCGAUACUGACGCUGAGGUGCGAAAGUGUGGGGAGCAAACAGGAUUAGAUACCCCCGUAGUCC
rnacentral:rRNA from 1 species